GGACGAACGCUGGCGGCGUGCCUAACACAUGCAAGUCGAACGAAGACCAUAGAGGAGCUUGCUUUAAUAUGGUUUUAGUGGCGGACGGGUGAGUAACGCGUGAGGACUUGUCGAGUACAGGGGGACAACAGGUGGAAACGUCUGCUAAUACCCCAUAAGCCUUCGGGUAAAAGGAGCGAUCCGGUACACGAGAGACUCGCGUUCUAUCAGCUAGUAGGUGGGGUAACGGCCCACCCCAGGCCAAGACGGAUAGCCGGACUGAGAGGUCGAUCGGCCACACUGGAACUGAGACACGGUCCAGACUCCUACGGGAGGCAGCAGUGGGGAAUAUUGGGCAAUGGGGGAAACCCUGAACCCCAGCGACGCCGCGUGAGUGAAGAAAUCCCUCGGGAUGUAAAACUCUGUUGUGUGGGAAGAUAAUGACGGUACCACACGAGGAAGCCCCGGCAAACUACGUGCCAGCAGCCGC
rnacentral:rRNA from 1 species